rnacentral:rRNA from 1 species
AGCUAACGUUGGCGGCGUGCCUAACACAUGCAAGUCGAACGCGUCCCCGCAAGGGGAUGAGUGGCAGACGGGUGAGUAACACGUGGGUAAUCUCCCUCCGAGCGGGGAAUAAGCACUCGAAAGGGUGUCUAAUACCGCAUGACGUCCUGAGGCGAUAGCCGAUGGAUUAAAGCCGUAAGGCGCUUGGAGAUGAGCCUGCGUCCUAUUAGCUAGUUGGUAGGGUAAUGGCCUACCAAGGCUGAGAUGGGUAGCCGGCCUGAGAGGGUGAACGGCCACACUGGGACUGAGACACGGCCCAGACUCCUACGGGUGGCUG